rnacentral:rRNA from 1 species
UUCCGGGUUGAUCCUGCCGGAGAUCACUGCUAUUGGGAUUCGACUAAGCCAUGCGAGUCGAGAGGGUUCGGCCCUCGGCUGACGGCUCAGUAACACGUGGAUAAUCUGCCCUUAGGUGGAGGAUAAUCUCGGGAAACUGAGGAUAAUACUCCAUAGAUCUGGGAUGCUGGAAUGCAUCUAGAUUUAAAGCCCCGGCGCCUAAGGAUGAGUCUGCGGACUAUCAGGUUGUAGUCAGGGUAAAGACCUGACUAGCCUAUGACGGAUACGGGUUGUGAGAGCAAUAACCCGGAGACGAUAUCUGAGACACGAUAUCGGGCCCUACGGGGCGCAGCAGGCGCGAAAACUUCACACUGUGCGAAAGCGCGAUGAGGGAAUCCCAAGUGUUUGCUCGUAAGAGUAAACUGUUUCUUUGUUUAAAACGCAGAGAGAGCAAGGGCUGGGUAAGACGGGUGCCAGCCGCCGCGGUAAUACCUGCGGCUCAAGUGGUGAUCAUUAUUAUUGGGCCUAAAACGUCCGUAGCCGGUUUAGUAAAUGCCUGGGUAAAUCGUGUAGCUUAACUAUACGAAUUCCGGGUAGACUGCUAAACUUGAGACCGGGAGAAGCUAGAGGUACUCCUGGGGUAGAGGUGAAAUUCUGUAAUCCUAGGGGGACCACCAGUGGCGAAGGCGUCUAGCUAGAACGGGUCUGACGGUGAGGGACGAAGCCCUGGGGCACAAACCGGAUUAGAUACCCGGGUAGUCCAGGGUGUAAACGCUGCUUGCUUGAUGUUAGUUGGGCUCCGAGCCCAACUAGUGUCGGAGAGAAGUUGUUAAGCAAGCUGCCUGGGAAGUACGGUCGCAAGGCUGAAACUUAAAGGAAUUGGCGGGGGAGCAC